AGAGGUUAAGUUAAUCAUCUAGGGCUGAGCUAGAAUUUGUAUCAGGAUCAAUCUGAUUCCAGUUUUUGUCUGAGUACUUAGUGGGACCAUAUAACUUGUCAUUCAGCUGAGAUAUAGAUGGGGAAAAAGUCAUGGAAGGAUGCUUUUAGAGUGAUGUCAGCGAAAAUGGCGGAGUAGGGGACUCUAAAAGCUCGCCUCUCCUCCAUCCAUAGAAGCAACAAAUAAACUGGAAAAAAAUGUUUGUAAUUAACUUUCUUAGAACUUUGGGACUAAAAACUUUGCAGCAACUAGGGGAAAACAUAAUUAAGGAGAACAAACUGCAUCUCAGUAAGAGCUUUGUAUCCUGGAUGCUCUUCUCUUCCUAACCAGUUGGCAGAAGCCUUGAAGACAGAAACCCACAUUCCUGGCACAAGUGCUCAGUAUGGAGGAAGCAUAAUGAAUCACAUUAUAAAAAAAAAAAGUAGGAAGGUUUUUAAUUGUAGAAGCU
rnacentral:lncRNA from 1 species